CGUGUAUAAUUUCUUAAGCAUACUUGACUAUCAUGUCACCGCAUAUUUUGAACGAUAGGUCCAGUUUGGUACUGGUUACAACAUUUACGAGUGGUUCUAGAGUUUUGUUAAAAAUCAGCUCAUAAAAUACCAACUUGUUUUUCAUUAAUUUUACAAGGAGCCUACUGAUAUUUUGAGUAUCAUGCCAUUAGCUUGUCACAGGUCGAUAGUAUUCUGGACAAGGAUGGAAAUUGCAAAGUCCAUAUUCUUUGAUCUGAAUCUCGAUUGCGGAUCUCACUAGCCACAUGUCGACACGAGGCUCAGCUUUGAAGUUGCACAGGAAAGUUGUCCGUGACAUGCAGCAUGGAGUCGAAAACGAGGUAUUACUGAAUGGUCGUGAGGGGCUGCAAACUUAGCGAACAUGGGAAUGUGUCUUCACUCAAGCAAACUAAAUUUGAGGACCAAAAUUAUUCGCCAUCCGAAUUUGUACGGCACACAAGCCACUUGAAGAGAUAACAAGACGUGAUUAUUUCGAAACGACAAUAACACGCUGUGGUCGGAUUUGUUGUCCUCAAACGCUCGACAAUGCUCCGAGGUGGCAAGAUGUAUUUGGAAAGGUGCUGUCGCAGGAAGGGGUUCGAGUGGAAUGAAAGUUUCUUAUUGAUUGCGACGAAAUUUCGGGGCAAAAAGGACGACUAUCUGAAUCCACUUUAUGACAAUCUUCAGGGCCGAGGUUCGUUCCUCAAUGUGAGGUGUCGGCGAGGAAAAAGCACCUUACGACAUCAGGGGCGGACCAAGCCAAGUCAGUUUUGUCUGAUUGUUGAAUCAUGAGGCUACUCCUCGAUUACAUGCUUUCUGACUUUUACAUUGUUUCUUUCUUUCUAUUAUUUCUUUUCACUCUUGAUCGGAAGUUCUUCAUGCUCUUCACAGACGUUUUCAUAUGUAUUCAAAUUUACCGUCUGGAUAGCAUGCCUUGUGGUCACGAACUCUUAUAAUCAUGUAUGAUUGAAGCAGAAUUUGGGUGAAAUCUGUAAAAUGCCGUCUGCACAUCGUAUCGUGGCUGUCAAGUCUCGUGUACUUUUUUGGCUGGUUUUGAAGAGGUAAUUCGUAGGAGACACGGUCACAUGUGGAUUCAUUCGCUAAGAAUCGAUUACAAUUUAGUUCCCAGAAAUUUCCGUUGAAGACGCCCCUGAAGUACACCUUGGAUGUUAGCUUGCCCCAGAACUUAUCCGAUAGUUGGAGGUCUUGGACUUUGCAAGAGGGCAAAGACACUAACUUUGCCUGGAAAUUUUGCGGAACAUUUCCAUCGAAAAACUUGAUUAGAAAAUUCAUUGAAGAAACUGGCUGAUCCACUCCUUUGAUUUCAAUAAAUUCCAGAAACGUUUUCCUUACUUCAAGCGAGUUGGUGAGCGACUAAACAUUCAGUUGGAAACUGUAGAAUGACGUAUAAAACGAAACAUGUGGCUUCCACACAGGUAUUCAAUACAUAGAAAUUGAGAGCUUUUUUUAAUCUAUGCACAGGUUUCGUUCAAACGAAAAUACUUGAGAACUAGCGAGCAGAGACGAACCUGAGAGGGUUGAAAUUGAAUGUUGUUCCACUAUUGUGAAUCUACAACGCGUUUCACGCAGGAGGCGUGGAAUGUCGCGUUCACCAGAGUUUGGAGGAUAUUUUGAGAUGCGAACCGCAAUUUUUCAAUAGACAGCUCUCACUUCUGCUGAGGCGUAAUUCUUUACUUCGCCACCACAAAGCUGUAGGAGCCCUCCCUACAAGGACAAGGCCAGACACCGAAAAUUUCGCGUCACCACCAGGUCACGCAAAAAAGAGACCUACGAAUCGCCACUUUCUUGCCAGUCCACCGAAUUUCUUCCAUUUGAUUCACGCUUCCGACUGUGAGCUUUCGUAAAAUCCCCUAGUAAUGUUCCCUCUAAGGAGUAAUUCUGACAGAUUCAUGAGAAAGGUGACCAUCAUGGCUAACCCUACGAAACUGCGAGCACGCUCGGAGAAGGCUUCAGCCAGCCAGCCAGCCAGCCUUCUAUGAAAUCUUCGUUAAUGAGAGAUGCUGCACCAGCUGCCGCCUGUCUUUGGAAUACCUCUCGGGCUCAAACCUCUCCCCUCUCCUGUAUAAAAGCAAAAAAAGCAGGAGAGAUACUAGGGGCAGCAACCAUUUGAUAGGCUACAUGGUGAGAUUGUAAUUUUGAAGAAAAUUUAUUCAUGUAAGUUCAUGCACUAAUUUUUUUGUCCAAA
rnacentral:lncRNA from 1 species